GGAACCUUGUUCAAGGACACACACUCCAGUGGGCUCUGCAGAGGAGCAGGGAAUCCUUUCAGAAAUGUAUAUGAAGCAAAAAGAUGAGAAUCUUUACUCCACCCAGCCAUCAAAGGUGGAGAAUCUGUCCCAAAAUUCCACAAACCUUCUACUCUUCCGAAAAUUGUGCCCACAAAGAUCAAAGAAGUUUGCCAGGAAAAGAUGGCACCAGUAUGUACCAGAAGAAAGAGGAUAUAUGAUUGAGAUCCAAGACUUACUUGGCCCAAACUUAGGUAUUCAGAAAGAGCCUCAAUUAAUCAUAAUAGAAGGGGCUGCUGGGGUUGGGAAGUCAACACUGGCCAGACAGGUGAGGAGAGCCUGGAAGGAAGGCCAGCUCUACAGGGAUCACUUCCAGCAUGUCUUCUUCUUCAGCUGCAGAGAGCUGGCCCAGCACAAGCAGCUGAGUCUGGCUGAGCUCAUAGCACAAGGCCAGGAAGUGCCCAUAGCUCCCAUCAGGCAAAUCCUGUCUCAGCCUGAGAAGCUACUCUUCAUCCUGGAUGGCAUAGAUGAGCCAGCAUGGGACUUGGAGGAACAGAAUCCUGAGCUAUGUCUACACUGGAGUAAAAUGCAGCCUGUGCACACACUGCUGGGAAGUUUGCUGGGGAAAUCCAUCCUUCCUGAGGCUUCCUUCUUGCUCACAGCUCGGACCACAGCACUAAAGAAAUCCAUUCUUUCCUUGAAGCAGCCAUGGCAGGUAGAAGUCCUAGGAUUCAAUAUGUUGGAACGGAAAAACUAUUUCUACAAAUAUUUUGCGAAGGAAAUAGAAGCAAUUGCUGCAUUUAGAUUGGUUAAAUCAAACCCAGUGCUCCUGACCCUGUGUGAGGUUCCCUGGGUGUGCUGGUUGGUCUGCUCUUGCCUGAAAAAGCAGAUGGAGCAGGGUGGAGUACUCUCACUGAACUCACAGACCACCACAGCCCUCUGCCUGAAAUACCUUUCCCUGACAACCCCAGGGCAGCAUAUGGGGACCCAGCUCAGAGCCCUCUGUUCAUUGGCUGCUGAAGGCAUCUGGAAAAGAAGGACCCUGUUCAGUGAGAGUGACCUCUGUAAGCAAGGGUUAGCAGAGGAUGCCAUUGCCACUUUCCUGGAGACUGGUGUCCUUCAAAAGCAGCCCAGUUCUCCGAGCUACAGCUUUGCCCACUUGUGCCUCCAGGAGUUCUUUGCAGCCAUGUCUUACAUCUUGGAGGAUAGUGAUGAAAGACAUGGUGAUGUGGAAUUCAAAAGAACCCUGAGAACACUGCUAAAAAUGUAUGGAAGGCAAAACCUGUUUGAGGCACCCACUGUGCGCUUUCUAUUUGGUCUUUUGAGUAAAGAGGGAUUGAAAGAAAUGCAAAAGGUCUUUUCCUGCCAGCUUCAUGGGAAGUCAAAGUUGAAUCUGAUAUGGUACAUCCUAGAGAAAUGGCAACCCCAUCAAACAUCUUGUCUGGGUUUGCUCCACUGUCUGUAUGAAAAUCGGAAUAUGAAGCUCCUGACACUCAUGAUGCAUGAUCAUCAAGGAACAAUAGUGCCUGGCCUAAAUCACAUUGCACACACAGUGUUGCAGACAAACUUGGAGCACCUGGUGAUACAGACAGACAUGGAUCUCAUGGUGGUCACUUUCUGCAUUCAGUUCUGCUAUCAUGUGAGGAGUCUACAGCUGAACAGAAAAGGGCAGCAGGGAUAUAAUUUAAUGUUCCCUGGGAUGGUUCUGUGA